rnacentral:piRNA from 1 species
UGUGGAGACACCUCGGGCAAGGCAUUUAACU